rnacentral:rRNA from 1 species
UACGUAGGGUGCAAGCGUUGUCCGGAAUUAUUGGGCGUAAAGAGCUCGUAGGCGGUUUGUCGCGUCGAAUGUGAAAACCCGGGGCUCAACCCCGGGCCUGCAUUCGAUACGGGCAGACUAGAGUUCGGUAGGGGAGUCUGGAAUUCCUGGUGUAGCGGUGAAAUGCGCAGAUAUCAAGGAAGAACACCCGUGGCGAAGGCGGCUUUCUGGGUCUUACCUGACGCUGAGGAACGAAAGCUAGGGGAGCGAACGGGG